rnacentral:rRNA from 1 species
AGAGUUUGAUCAUGGCUCAGAACGAACGCUGGCGGCAUGCCUAACACAUGCAAGUCGGACGCUUUUGGGGUUUCGGCCUCAAGGGAGUGGCGGACGGGUGAGUAGCGCGUGGGAACCUGCCCCUUUGUGGGGGAUAACCGAGGGAAACUUCGGCUAAUACCGCAUGCGCCCCGGCGAAAGCUGGGGGAAAGAUUUAUCGCAGAGGGAGGGGCCCGCGUCGGAUUAGGUAGUUGGUGGGGUAACGGCCUACCAAGCCGGUGAUCCGUAGCUGGUCUGAGAGGAUGAUCAGCCACACUGGGACUGAGACACGGCCCAGACUCCUACGGGAGGCAGCAGUGGGGAAUAUUGGACAAUGGGCGCAAGCCUGAUCCAGCAAUGCCGCGUGAGUGAUGAAGGCCUUCGGGUUGUAAAGCUCUUUCGGCGGGGACGAUGAUGACGGUACCCGCAGAAGAAGCCCCGGCUAACUUCGUGCCAGCAGCCGCGGUAAUACGAAGGGGGCGAGCGUUGUUCGGAUUUACUGGGCGUAAAGGGCGCGUAGGCGGCGGGUCAAGUCGAGUGUGAAAGCCCCGGGCUCAACCUGGGAAUUGCGCUCGAGACUGGUCUGCUUGAGUUCGGGAGAGGAGAGUGGAAUUCCCAGUGUAGAGGUGAAAUUCGUAGAUAUUGGGAAGAACACCGGUGGCGAAGGCGGCUCUCUGGACCGAGACUGACGCUGAGGCGCGAAAGCGUGGGGAGCAAACAGGAUUAGAUACCCUAGUAGUCC